rnacentral:tRNA from 1 species
GGAGAAGUAUCGAAGUGGUCAUAACGAGCCUGACUCGAAAUCAGGUUGUCCGCAAGGGCACGUGGGUUCGAAUCCCACCUUCUCCGCCA